CGAGUGCCGUGCCAGUGCGGAGGAAUGCGCAGCGGCUCCCGGCCCCGCCACCAAAGAAGGGAAUCGCCCAAGGAAAGGGGCAGCGCUGCUGGGGAGAGAAUUUCACUUUAAACAAACCAAACCAAACCACUUAGUCCUUCUAAGCCACUGGCACAUGAACUGUGUGGAAGCAAUGCUGCGUCCGUUUUACGUCGGGAGCCGCAACCAGCGGGCGCGACCUCUCGACGCGCUUGCUCCUGUUCGUGUCUGCUGGCGCCGGCUCCCGUUCCCGCUGCAGAGCGAGAUACUGCAGGAUGCGGCGAGCUCCGUCUGGCUGCGCGACAGGAAAACGGGCAAACCACUCUGCGUCCUGCCCCAUGACAAGGCAAGCCCCAAACCGGGACGAGGCCGGCGGCGCCUGCGGUUGCGGUGCUGUUCAGAGGCGGGCGCUCCGGCCGGGGCUGGGGGUCUUCUCGGCACGGGGAGAAAGCUGCCGCCUGAACGAUGAUUAUUAAUUCCCGAAAUACCUUCUCCUAUUUACACGAUGGAUCCGAGUUUUCACUGUGAAUAAAAAUAAGCAGAACGUUAUAUUUAGCCA
rnacentral:lncRNA from 1 species